AAAAAAAAAAAAAAAGAAAUAAUAUUCCAAUUUGAUUUUACUUCAGUUCAAGUUAACUUGGUGCGUUAAUAUUUGACUUUAGAGAUGCAAUGUUGUUAUCUUUGCUUUGUUUUUUUAAUAUAACUUUGAAGCUUUUGUUUGAGUUGAUUUAGGUGCCGUUGCGGUUGACCUGAAUGUGGCUAAUUAGAACUUUGAUAUUUUAAUUAGUUAGGUCGAAACUUUGCAGAGCAUGUUCCUUCUGUGCGUUCCACAGCUGCUGGAAGGCCAUCAAUGUCUAUUCGUACAGCAACAUUGGUACCACCAAGUAAACCAUCAUUAAGAACUCCCAUUUCUAUACCUCCCAUUGAGCCUCCUUCUAAUAGGAACAAAGAGAAAAGGUCAGUGAACUCUUUAUCGUUUUUAUUAUUUGUUUUUAUUUUUCUCUACUGGAUUUGAAUGAAGCUUAUGGCACAUACUUCAGGGUUUUGCUUUAAAAUUAAUUGGUUUUGAUUUGAACUUCCAUUUAUGGAGUACAUAUGUGUGUGUUGGUGCCUGUUCCCAAUGAGAGGUGACAAUUCAAUGACAAGAAGUACCAAAGUUCACUUAAUGUAACUCGGUGCAAUUUUGUGGAUUCAUGUGUGUCUUGGCCUUCAUAAAGGUGGUUGUGGGUGUAAUAAGUUUAUCCAUCUGUAAAUUAAAAAUUUUCAGUGUAAUGUGAGGUUAACAAGCCUUAAUUUAUACUUAAUUCACAGUUAAUUGAUGUCAGUUGAUGCUAUGCUUUUCUUUCAUUGAAAAUUUAAAAUUGCCAACUAUUUCAGGUUUACUUCAGAUGUGGGACAACUCAAGACAAAAGAUGCAGGAGAUCAGCGUGAAGCUUCAGCUCUUCGUGAUGAGGUAUGUCUUGUCACCAAUCAUUCAUAACAAACACAUACAAUCUCCUUGGUUUAAUGGAGAUAACUAUGAAUGGGUUAAGCAAGAAAUAUGCUCGAAGCUAACAGCUAAAUUUUGUAGCUUGAUAUGUUACAAGAAGAGAAUGAAGUUAUACUUGACAAGCUUCGUUGUGCAGAAGAAAGACGUGAGGAGGCUGAAGCUAGAGCUAGGGAGCUUGAGAAACAGGUCGCUGUGCUUGGGGAAGGUGUAUCCUUAGAAGCUAAACUGUUGAACAGAAAGGAAGCAGCACUACAACGAAGAGAGGCUGCUCUUAAGGCUGCAAAACAAACUAAAGAUGGAAGAGAUGAAGAAACUGCAGCCCUUCUCUCAGAACUUGAGAGCUUGAAAGAGGGAGCAGCUGCAGCUAUGGAACAGUUUCGAGAAGCAGAAUCUGAAGCGAAAGCUCUUCGCACAAUGACACAGAGAAUGAUUUUGACUCAGGAAGAGAUGGUCUGUUGCAUUGAAAUUGAAGUAAGAUUUAUAAUUUGCUGUAUAGAUUUAUAAUUAUGUGCUGCAUGUACCUUUAGGAGGAAGUUGUCUUGAAGAGAUGUUGGCUUGCUCGCUACUGGGGCUUAGCUGUAAAGCUUGGUAAUCAACUUGAUCCAUUUUUACUCAGCAGAGUAAUUAUUGUGUGUCUUUAGUUUGUUUUUCUUUCCUUGAUGAGGCAUGUAGAGACAUCUAGUAAUGAAUAAUUUUGCUUAACUUGUUAGACUUGCUUGAUAGAUCUCCCAACUACCUACCCACAUAGGAUGUACUGAUUUUGAAUAGCAUUUUCCCCUCUUUUGAUUAAUACUAAUGAAUCAUUAUCCUUUUGUUGCCCGCUUCCUUGUUACAUGUAAUAUGGUUGUACUAUGUGUUUCUUGUCUAUUGAUUUUUUGAUCUGGUAUCAUAAUAUUUAUUACUGGAUAUUUGAUUUUACUGUACCUCUAGCAGAUUAAUUUCAUUUUUCAUUAUUCAAGCUUUGUUAUUUUUGGGAGAAAAGGGGCUCUAUUCUUAAUGCAUGCUGCUUUAUUUAUAGGCAUUUGUGCUGAUGUGGCUGUAGCAAAGCAUGAGCAUUGGUCUGCUUUAGCUCCUCUUCCAUUUGAAGUUGUCAUUUCUGCUGGACAAAAGGCUAAGGAGGAGUCUUUGGACACAGGUGGUGAUGAUCCAGAUAGGAGUAAACCUGCUCGUGAUAUGAGUUACCUAACAGGAGAAGGAAAUAUUGAGAGUAUGCUUUCAGUUGAAAUGGGAUUAAGGGAAUUGGCUUCUUUAAAGGUUGAAGAUGCUGUCAUGCUUGCAUUGGCCCUGCACAGACGACCAAAUUUGAGAUCAGCACUUGAUCCCAAGUUUACAGAGGCCAUUGAAUUGAGUGAUGAGGAGGCAGAAGAUGUUAUUUUCAAAGAGGCAUGGCUUACAUAUUUCUGGAGAAGAGCCAAAGUGCAUGGUGUGGAAGAGGAUAUUGCAGAAGAGCGGCUUCAGUUUUGGAUCGGGCGCAGUGGGCAGUCACCAACUUCACAUGAUGCUGUGGAUGUUGAGCGAAGCUUGUUAGAGCUGAGGAAAUGUGGUAUAGAGCAACAACUUUGGGAAGCGUCUCGGAAAGAAAUUGACCAGCCCUCUUCAAGCUUAUUUUCCAAUCAUAAACCUACUGUAGAUUCUGAGACUUCUUAUUGAUUGUCAAUUUGAUAAGUUGCAUAUAUUCCUUGUAGGUUGCUUGUGUCAAUUUUAUGAUUGUAAUUUUUUUGUUUCUAUAUUUCAUAUUUCUUUCUACAUUCAAUUUUGUUGCAACUCGCUAUAAUUCCUUAAAAUAGGAAUAUUUCAUUCACAUUACAAUGCCAUAUUUGGCGGUAUAGUUGGUAUUUGAUGCUAUAAUCAGUGCUAUAAUUAUUGUAGCUCUUGACAAAGCUGUGGAGCCUGUAAGGAAGAGAUGUUAAUAGACAGGUUGGAUUUGGGAGUGGAGUGAAAUACGCUUGAUUAUGAUUAACAUUGUUAAUAAUUACAGGAUCAAUCAUGCAGACAGGUCUAGCAUCUACCCACGUGUUUAUGAAGGCAAAUCUUUCACUGCUUCUUCUCAACUUUGCUUGCUCAUGUUGUAAAAUUAAGCUGUUCUUCCUAAUUUCCUAGAAUUUUCAGUGUCCGAACUCAGGAUUUCUACGUAGAUUUUGUAAUGCCCAGUGUGCGAAAAUUUCAUUCUAUUGUUUAAUUCUUUUGAAAUCAUUUCCCAAUGUAUGUUCUCUCCAUGCAUGAUGGGGUGCUUCCAU
rnacentral:misc_RNA from 1 species